rnacentral:lncRNA from 1 species
UUCUGUUCCAUCAUAGGUUUUAAUUAGCUUUUGAGCUGAAAAUGACCGACGCAGUGGACACGGGGAUGGUCAGCACCAAACACACAAGUCUGUACAGCUGCUUCAUGCUCUCACUCUGAUUUUUCUGAUGAAGGAAGUCAACGAGAUCAGUGGUAGAUGCUCCUGCAAAAUCAUCCAUAGCGUAUGUGGCAGGAUGAAUUGGCUCAGGUGCAGUAGGGAGGAUAAUUACUAGCAGUGGCCUCAUGGGGCGCUAUAAAAGACAAGAAGCCUUCACUUGGCCAUGGGCAGCAUUUGGCCAUUGGAACCGCCCACUUCCUGUUAGCACACCUCCGGUUAGCCUCACAGCUCCGGAUGAGACCUGCAGGCACAGAUUUUGAAGCAAAAUACAGCCUCUGCAAUUGAGCGCGUCUCCCAGGUGACGAACAGUCUGUCUGGUAAGCCGGCGAGGGUCAAGUCCUGCGCUUGCCUUUAAAUUGUUUUUGUUUUUUUAAUUUUGGUAAUGUUUGUUCUUGCAGCGCCGGGGACUUUCUGACGCUCCCACCUGCUGAACAGCUGCUGCUUUUUAUAUAUUGAAUUUUAGAAAUAUUUUUAAUGAACUGUCACCGCUCGUGAUCAGAAUCCCUGCGGACUCCUGACCAGGGUUCUGCCGGGCCCGGGUGCUCCUCAGCUGCCUCUGAGCCUGAGCAACGGAGGUCCAUUGAGCAGCACCCUACGGGCGGACUUACUCUCACGAGAGUUUCUUUUAUUUUGUUUUUAGCAUUUUUAUACAAUUCUUUUAGAGCUGUGUUUUAAUUGUGCAUUUUAUCGUGCAAUCCACCUUUGUUUUCCCCCCUCCCUCAGUGCUGAGGACUCAGGUGACAGCCCUGAGUUCUAGGUGGAGGCUAUCGUCCCAGUUUGGAGUGACGUGUCCUUGGGUGAAGGGUUUACAAGUGUGUGUGUGGUCUGCAUCACGUGAGUUGGGUGAAAUUUUAUCUUUGUUCUCUGGGAGCCUCCACCUCCCUUAAGUCUUGUGGUCCUCAGCAGACUGAAUCUGUUUGUGCAUGUCUUUUAAACGGGUCCAUUUUUAAUUGGUUUUAACUUUAUGUAAUCAUUUUAAUUGU